GGACUAAUAUGUCGGUCGUGCCUCGGUACGUACUAGCAUAUUGGUUUCUCCUUUCUGAAGAACCAUGAUGUCAUUCAUUUGGUGUCUCGGGGAAUCAGGAUUGUUACUUUGAAAAAUUAGAGUGUUUAAAGCAGGCUCACGCUUGAAUACAUUAGCAUGGAAUAAUGAAAUAGGACGUUUGAUUCUAUUUUGUUGGUUUCUAGGAUCGACGUAAUGAUUAAUAGG
rnacentral:rRNA from 1 species